rnacentral:rRNA from 1 species
UACAGAGGGGGCAAGCGUUAUUCGGAAUUAUUGGGCGUAAAGGGCGCGUAGACGGCUUUGCAAGUGACGGGUGAAAUCCCUCGGCUUAACCGAGGAACUGCCUGUCAAACUGCAUGGCUUGAGACCGGGAGAGGUGAGUGGAAUUCCCAGUGUAGCGGUGAAAUGCGUAGAGAUCAGGAAGAACAUCGGUGGCGAAGGCGCUCUGCUGGACCAUAACUGACACUCAGGGACGAAAGCUAGGGGAGCGAAUGGG